rnacentral:rRNA from 1 species
UAGGGAAUCUUCCGCAAUGGACGAAAGUCUGACGGAGCAACGCCGCGUGAGUGAUGAAGGUUUUCGGAUUGUAAAGCUCUGUUGUUAGGGAAGAACAAGUACCGUUCGAAUAGGGCGGUACCUUGACGGUACCUAACCAGAAAGCCACGGCUAACUACGUGCCAGCAGCCGCGGUAAUACGUAGGGGGCGAGCGUUGUCCGAAUUCACUGGGCGUAAAGCGCGCGUAGGCGGGUUAUUAAGUUGGUGGUGAAAUCCCGAGGCUCAACCUCGGAACUGCCGUCAAAACUGAUAGCCUAGAGGUUUGGAGAGGGAUCUGGAAUUCCAGGUGUAGCGGUGAAAUGCGUAGAUAUCUGGAGGAACACCCAUGGCGAAUGCAGGUGCCUGGCCAUAUCCUGACGCUGAGGUGCGAAAGCUAGGGUAGCGAACG